ACCCGACUACAUGAAGCUGGAAUCGCUAGUAAUCGCGAAUCAGAAUGUCGCGGUGAAUACGUUCCCGGGUCUUGUACACACCGCCCGUCACACCAUGGGAGUCGGAAAUGCCCGAAGUCAGUGACCCAACCAAUCCGGAGGGAGCUGCCGAAGGCGGGAUCGGUAACUGGGGUGAAGUCGUAACAAGGUAAC
rnacentral:rRNA from 1 species